AAACAAGCCGAAUCUAACCCAGGAGCGGGGGAACCAAGUUUUGGGGUGAACGCUUUGCUCAGGCAGUGCGAUGCUAACGUCAAUCUGGCUGAAAUCAGCGAGGGUGGUCUUCUCUACCCGAACCCGGCAGCUAACCUCGUAGGCGAAUAGAGAGAGGA
rnacentral:sRNA from 1 species